rnacentral:misc_RNA from 1 species
GAUGAAGAACGCAGCGAAAUGCGAUAAGUAAUGUGAAUUGCAGAAUUCAGUGAAUCAUCGAAUCUUUGAACGCACAUUGCGCCCGCCAGUAUUCUGGCGGGCAUGCCUGUUCGAGCGUCAUUUCAACCCUCAAGACCCCUUCGGGGGACUUGGUGUUGGGGACCGGCACAGGGGCCUGCCUGCUUGUCUUGCAGCGCCCUCGCCGCCCCCGAAAUGAAUUGGCGGCCUCGUCGCGGCCUCCCCUGCGUAGUAGCACAACCUCGCAACGGGAACGUGACGGCGGCCACUGCCGUAAAACAACCCCAAUUUUAUUAGAGUUGACCUCGAAUCAGGUAGGAAUACCCGCUGAACUUAAGCAUAUCAAUAAGCGGAGA